GGAGAGAUGGCAGAGCGGUUGAAUGCACCGGUCUUGAAAACCGGCAUGGGUUAAUAGCCCAUCUAGGGUUCAAAUCCCUAUCUCUCCGCCA
rnacentral:tRNA from 1 species